ACUGUAUAAAUAGACUGAAAGCCCUAAUAUUAGGGUUUUCAUUUUGUGCAGCUCUCUCUUUCUCUCGUAAUCUAAUCCAAUCUGCUCUUGUUUGCUGCUGCUCAAUCUCAGGCAACAUGGGGAGAGUGACAAGGAAAGGGUUCUGAAAGAAGUUGUGAAUUGUUGUUGGAAAUAUGAGUUUUGAAGCUUUACAUGCUGUGAAAGUGUACCGACAUCUUCUAAAAGCUAUCAAGAAACAUAUUGGCCAGGAAGAUUACAAGAAGCAUUUUGGAGAAUUUGUAAUGUUAGAAUUCCGAAAGAACACCAAUCUCUCUGAUCAUUCUGCCAUUCAGCAGAAAAUCAAGCUUGCCCGCAACUAUACUUUUCUGCUUAAUAGUGUGCACCAUCACAAGGAUUUGCUGUUUUCUUACAACAUUGCUGUGGACAGGUCAGAUGAAAUGAAAAGAAUAUUAGGAAAAUCUGCUGCCAGCGUAGGUCUUCAGCUUCCUGAGGUUUAUCAGCCUUGAUGGUGAAGAAUUUUUGCUCUUUAUUCUAUAUCCUUUUGAGCAUGCAGCGUUCAAGGUACUGUAAGAACUAGGAAUUUGGUUCGUGCAGAUUUGCCUAAACCUAAGAUUUGGAUUGAUUUGUUCAUUCUGAUGGAACUUAGUGAGGAAGAAGGCUAUGGGCACAUAUUUGUAUAAAUAAAAACACUUGAGAAGCCAGAUUCUUGAAGAUUUUACCCCAAUGAGUAGGGUUUGCAGGAUUCUUGGCAUCACCGCCAAAAGAUGCCAGUUUUACCCUGCCUCAUUAUGACAUUGUCAGAGUACUUUUUUUUUCUACAGACAUUAGAAUGAUUUACCAUUUGUUUCUAGAGUCAACCUUGAGAAAACUGAGGGUUGAGUUAAUAUAUCCAAAUCGGUUUCUCAGUACCUCCAUUUGAGCGCUCAUUACAAGAAUCAGAAAUCCCAUCAGGUUGAACCGGAAUGCAUCUUACUUCAAUUGCAUUUGAAGGGACUUACUUCAAUUGCAUUUGAAGGGACAUUUUAUGGAGAGCUGCUAAACAUCAAAGCUUUGAUUUUAAUCAAAUGUAAACAAGUAACAAUCGACAAAGACAUAAUUUGUCAAUCAGGAUUACCCUGAUGACACUCCUUUGGCAUUGUAUAUGAGCUAUGAGAUCCUGGAUUUUGUGGAUGCACCAUACCAACCACUUCACUCUUAUGCAUGCUCGGGGGUUGGAAUUCUAUCAAAUAUUUUCUUGUUCAGCAAGUGAAAAUGGGUAAAAUUGCAAGUCCCAUGUCGGGGAAGCAGCACCUCUAAAGCCAAUAAGAGCCAAGGAAAAGAACACAACUAGUCUACUGAGCUCUUACUUCCUUCUAAGAAUGUCAUAACGCAUAACUUAGUCCAUUCCAAGUUAAAGAUGCCAUUAUUUCCAUCUCAUCCAAAUACAAAGAAAUGGAAAAAAAUCUCUGUGAAAAGAUUAGCAUUUUGUAAUACUGAAACAGAAACUACCUCUCGUAGAUUUGUGGAUCAGAUCCAAAAUUCAGAGUUCAUGUUAAUAAAAGGUCAAAACAGACAACUAUAAUAUUGCAAAGACUUUACACGUGUUCAGACUUUCACACACGUGUCACCCUAAGUUUCUGUAACAGUGCCACUUAUUCUGCUCUAUCCUCUAUAUCACUGGGCAGUUGGCUAAAAUUAGCAAGAGCUAAAAAAAAACCACCUACCAAAUUUAGGAAGCGGCAAUACAAACUAUCAUCAUCAACAGCAAGCAAUAACAUCAAGAACAAGUAGAAUAAGAAGAAGAAAAUGGGUUCAGAGACUUUCUUAGAGGUGAUACUGGCCAUUCUGCUACCUCCUGUUGGGGUCUUCCUACGUUAUGGAUGUGGAGUGGAGUUCUGGAUAGAUUUGUUGCUGACAAUUUUGGGAUAUAUUCCUGGGAUUAUAUAUGCAAUUUAUGUAUUGGUUGGAUAGUUAAAGAUUUGAUGUUUUCUCUUUUUCUGUUUAUGUACAUGUUUUGAGGUCAUUUGUGUAUCUAUCUUUUCAGAUUAUUAUCUGUUUAGUACGGUUUUAUGAUUAAUGGAGGACUUUCUUGUUAUUUAAUUUAUAA